AGGAGUUGGAAGCUACUGAUUUUAAGACCCAGAGGAGCAGUAAAGGGGCCAGGAACAGUCAUUACGAAGGACACUAAGACACCAUCCAAAAUUUAUGUGAUCAAAACAAACCAGCAAUGACUGGGAGAAAUAAAGUGGACGUUAAAAAAGAAGAACUAAGAAGCAGGAAAAAGGACUCUAAAAUAAG